UGAGGAAUAUUGCCCAAUGGACGCAAGUCUGAGGCAGCAACGCCGCGUGGGCGACGAAGGCCUUCGGGUUGUAAAGCCCUUUUCUGAGGGACGAGAAAGGACGGUACCUCAGGAAUAAGUCACGGCUAACUACGUGCCAGCAGCCGCGGUAAUACGUAGGUGGCCAGCGUUAUCCGGAUUUACUGGGCGUAAAGCGCGUGCAGGCGGUUCUGUAAGUCGGACGUGAAAGCUCCUGGCUUAACUGGGAGAGGUCGUUCGAUACUGCGGGGCUUGAGGUCGGGAGAGGGACGUGGAAUUCCCGGUGUAGUGGUGGAAUGCGUAGAUAUCGGGAGGAACACCAGUGGCGAAGGCGGCGUCCUGGCCCGCACCUGACGCUAAGACGCGAAAGCGUGGGUAGCGAACGGG
rnacentral:rRNA from 1 species